UGCGUAGGCUGUUAAAUAAGUCAGUGGUGAAAUCCUAUAGCUUAACUAUAGAACUGCCAUUGAAACUAUUUGACUAGAGUAUGCGCGAAGUUGGCGGAAUGCGACAAGUAGCGGUGAAAUGCAUAGAUAUGUCGCAGAACCCCGAUUGCGAAGGCAGCUGACUAAAGCAUAACUGACGCUGAUGCACGAAAGCGUGGGUAUCGAACAGGAUUAGAUACCCUGGUAGUCC
rnacentral:rRNA from 1 species